rnacentral:rRNA from 1 species
AGAGUUUGAUCCUGGCUCAGAACAAACGCUGGCGGCGUGCCUAACACAUGCAAGUCGUACGAGAAAGGGUCCUUCGGGACCUGAGUAAAGUGGCGCACGGGUGAGUAACGCGUGGAUAAUCUGCCCCUCAGUUGGGAAUAACUCAUCGAAAGGUGGGCUAAUACCGAAUAACACUGCUUGGCUUUGGCCGGGCAGUCAAAGAGAGCCUCUGCUUGCAAGCCCUCGCUGAAGGAUGAGUCCGCGUACCAUUAGCUAGUUGGUAGGGUAAUGGCCUACCAAGGCGACGAUGGUUAGCUGGUCUGAGAGGAUGAUCAGCCACACUGGAACUGAGAUACGGUCCAGACUCCUACGGGAGGCAGCAGUGAGGAAUCUUGCGCAAUGGGGGCAACCCUGACGCAGCAACGCCGCGUGAGUGAUGAAGGCCUUCGGGUCGUAAAGCUCUGUCAAGUGGGAAGAACCCGGUUGAUUAUAAUACAAUUAACCGCUGACGGUACCACUGAAGGAAGCACCGGCUAACUCCGUGCCAGCAGCCGCGGUAAUACGGAGAGUGCAAGCGUUAUUCGGAAUCAUUGGGCGUAAAGCGCGCGUAGGCGGUUUUUUAAGUCGGAUGUGAAAGCCCGGGGCUCAACCCCGGAAGUGCAUUUGAAACUGAAAGACUUGAGUAUGGGAGAGGGAAGUGGAAUUCCUGGUGUAGAGGUGAAAUUCGUAGAUAUCAGGAGGAACACCGGUGGCGAAGGCGACUUCCUGGACCAAUACUGACGCUGAGGCGCGAAGGCGUGGGUAGCAAACAGGAUUAGAUACCCUGGUAAUCC